AGCGCUGCCAGAGUGCGUGUAUUUUGACUUCGAUAUACGAUGUUUCUACGACGUUAUCGUGGGGAGUACCACGACAACAGACCCCAUAACACGAGGGUAUCUGCUCUGUCCAUUUCGUGGCAACUUAGGAAUGAACAGAAUCACUGACCUCGUCAACUCUAGAAGUAUUUACUUGUUCGACGAGAGAAAAACAGUUUUACCACCUCAUCCACAAUGUCCAUUACCGGCUCAGUGAAAAGGUGCAAAUAGCUCAAGUAUACAUUAAAAGCUAUGUAGAACUAUGCAGUGUAC